rnacentral:rRNA from 1 species
AGUGAACGCUGGCGGUAGGCCUAACACAUGCAAGUCGAACGGCAGCACAGUAAGAGCUUGCUCUUACGGGUGGCGAGUGGCGGACGGGUGAGGAAUACAUCGGAAUCUACUUUUUCGUGGGGAUAACGUAGGGAAACUUACGCUAAUACCGCAUACGACCUACGGGUGAAAGCAGGGGAUCUUCGGACCUUGCGCGAUUGAAUGAGCCGAUGUCGGAUUAGCUAGUUGGCGGGGUAAAGGCCCACCAAGGCGACGAUCCGUAGCUGGUCUGAGAGGAUGAUCAGCCACACUGGAACUGAGACACGGUCCAGACCCCUACGGGAGGCAGCAGUGGGGAAUAUUGGACAAUGGGCGCAAGCCUGAUCCAGCCAUACCGCGUGGGUGAAGAAGGCCUUCGGGUUGUAAAGCCCUUUUGUUGGGAAAGAAAAGCAGCAGGUUAAUACCCCGCUGUUCUGACGGUACCCAAAGAAUAAGCACCGGCUAACUUCGUG